GUGAGGAAUAUUGGUCAAUGGGCGGAAGCCUGAACCAGCCAUCCCGCGUGGAGGAAGACGGCCCUAUGGGUUGUAAACUUCUUUUCAAGGGGAAGAAAGUUCGCGACGUGUCGCGAUUUGCCGGUACCUUUGGAAUAAGCAUCGGCUAACUCCGUGCCAGCAGCCGCGGUAAUACGGAGGAUGUGAGCGUUAUCCGGAUUUAUUGGGUUUAAAGGGUGCGUAGGCCGAUCGAUAAGUCAGCGGUGAAAUACCAUGGCCCAACCAUGGAACUGCCGUUGAUACUGUCGGUCUUGAAUAUGGUCAAGGUAGGCGGAAUGUGUAAUGUAGCGGUGAAAUGCUUAGAUAUUACACAGAACACCGAUUGCGAAGGCAGCUUACUGGUCCAUUAUUGACGCUGAGGCACGAAAGCGUGGGGAUCGAACAGGAUUAGAAACCCCGGUAGUCC
rnacentral:rRNA from 1 species